UGAAUCUGGCACUGGUUUAGUGACUGAUGAAACAAGAAGGCACAAACAUUUGACCGUGACAUGGCAAAUCCAAGACAAGACACGAACAAAGGUAUCUGAAGGCUCGGUAGAAAAUUAUAGGUGUUUUUAGUUUUUCUUAAUCUCUGUUCACGAUGCAUAACGGAGUCCACACCACACACUACUGACUAGGACAGAGAUAACAAGAUGAACAGUUGA
rnacentral:lncRNA from 1 species